CGACUUGAAUUGAUUUCUACUUCCGGAUAAGGAAAGGCACUUCUACGCAUGCUAACAACAAGGUCCCUAGAAAGAUAUCUUCUCUUUCUCUUCUCCAAAAAAUCUCUGUGACAGUCUCUAGCACUCAUUCCUUCCAGCUUCUCUUCUUUCAGAUCAAUAACCCUUCGAUUCUUUUUGGAUAAUAUCUGAAAAAUCUUAGCUUGUGAUAUCUUCAAACAGAUCUGCUUCAGUAAAACAAACUGAAUAAUCCAAGAACCCCAGUUCGGAUCAGAAGGAGUUUCAGUUGAAAUCAAUUAAACAACCCUUUGUUUGUUGGAAAGAAUGAGUAUAAAGAGAAUGAAAAAGAUCAGAAUUUGAAGUCUACAAAGAUAAGAUCAUCAUCACCUAUUACUAAGCAUUUCAUGGCUCCAACAAUCUCUACGGUUUCAGAAUUUGCUGCUACUUAGUGGACAGGAAUGAACCAGUUAGGGUUUCUGAUUAUAGAAAGUUACCAUUUGCAGAAAAGAUUGAAUCAUGUUCUGAUUCGGUUAAUUUAUUGUUCUCAGGUAUUACUCCCAAAAGUUUCUUCCAUUCAAGAUCUUUCAUUUACUGAAAUUGUUGAUUCAGAUUAGGGAUUAGCUUCUGGUUCUCAGGUACCCCAUAAAACCUUAGAGAUUAGUAUGUCUUCAAUUUUCGGAUCCUAUUGAAAACCCAUUGUUAGAUUAACCAAUUAAAACCAGAUAAAAACUUUGUUGCCAAUUUAACUAUGGUAAACAAAGGGUACCGAACAGCGGACUGGGGUGAGAAUGCAAUAGAGGAAAAUCAAGAAAUGAAUGGUUUUGGAUCCCUAGAGGAAAUAGAAGCUAAUGAGGAAGUGAACCAGGAAGAAGACAGUUGUUUAAUUGUUGAAAAAGAUGACAAGAGUUAAGAUUUGGCUGAUUUUGAUUCCGAAAUGAUAAAAAAAGCCCAUGGUGAUCCAUGAAAAAGAUGGUAUUAAACUUCCUCAGCAGAAGUUAGAGGAAAAUAGUGAAGCCGAAAUGACAGAAGAGGGUUGUUUACUAGCUGCUGGGGUUAAGGAGAAGACGGGACACUUGGUAUAUAUGCUUAAACCUGAAAUGAUAGAAGAGUCAGUAGAGUUCUAAGAGAAAGAUGGUCUUGAUAUCCUCCAUACAGACGUUGACACUGCCAAUUUAAAACUCAGUCAGCAUAUCUCUGAUUCUGAUAGUUCUCAAAACUCCGAAAUAGAAUCUGAUCCGUGCAGCCAUUGAUAUGGUGGAUGCUAGCUUCAUUUUCUCUCUGUUUUUCGCUCUCUAAGAAAAACAAAUCACACACACUUUACAAAUUACAAGUAUCAGCUAUGAGACCUCGAAUCAGAGGUUGGAAUGGUCAUUUAUGAUUCUCAAGUUCCCAUUGGUGCUACUCUUGAAUACAUGGCUGGUCACUACAUGCUGUGAAGUGCAACCUCCUUUUUACCUGUUAUGGCCCUUGCUCCUGAAGAAAAUGAUAGGGUGGUAGUUAUGGCGAUUGCACCUGGUGGUAAAACAAUCUAUAUUGCAGCUCGCAUGUAGUAAAGGGGUACGCACUUGUCCCUAAUUAUUCCAGUAAUGUACCUGUAGUCGGAAUAUUUUUGCUUGAUGCAGUUUCAUGUAAUCAUGUAAUGGCUAGCUUUCACUAUGAAUGAUCUGGUACCAAAUUUCACACUUAGUUUUAAGGUUUUCAUUUCUUUACCUAUUUAAGUUUCCACUGUCACAAUAAACAUGCUAAUAUGCUGAAUCGAUCUGUAAUGGUAAAUAUUAGUGAUAAAACUUGAAACCCAUGGUCUACUACCAAAUUUCACACUUACUUUUAAGGUUUUCGUUUCCUUACCUAUUUAAGUUUCCACUGUCACAAUAAACAUGCUAAUAUGCUGAACCUAUCUUUAAUGGUAAAGAUUAGUGAUAAAACUUGAACUUACCCAUGGUCAAUGGUUGAGGUUUUUCCGGUCUGUCUUACCAGUUUUCAAUAAUUCACAUGUCACUAGUUGAAAACUAGUCUCCGAUUUUGUCUACAUACUGUGCUACUUAGUAAUGAGGUGCUCGUGACAGGAUAGAGGGACAAUAGCAUAAGUUAAGAAUAGGUAACUACAUAGUAGUUGGAUUCUUUACAAUGUGAAACCUUUUUUAAUCUAGUUACAUUUUAUGAGGUGUGCAUAUACAAUUAUGGCAUGCAUUUUUUUAUUGAAUUUUUGAUAGAGCUACGCUUUUCUUUGGAUUUCCGGGAUUGACUUCUACUUUUGGUAUCCAAACACACUCCUGGCUUUUUUACUUCUUUGAAGUCAAAAAAUAACAUCUCAAGGAGAGGAUGUUUGGAUACCAGAAGCAGAAGUCAAUCCCAGAAGUCAGUAGCAAAAAGUUUGCUUUUUCACUUAUAGAAGUCAAUCCCAAUUUUUAUUGCCAACCUAACUUCUGACUUUUUGCUUCUAGAAGUUGAGGAACAACUUCUGAGAAUGCAUUCAAACACCUUUAGUUCCAGGACUAACUUUUGACUCUUCAACAAAUAUAUCAUUGCAUGCAUCAGAAUUUUCAUGUCUGUCUGUCUGUCUGUUUGUCGUUUUGUUUCCCCCCCCCCUUCAGAUGCAUGUUAGUGCUCAGUUUCUUACUCUGAUCAGGAGUUGUUUAUGCAAAUGAGAUAAAGGAAUCUUGACUCAAGUCACUUACUGCAAAUUUGCAACGGAUGGGAGUGACUAACACUAUUGGGCUCUAACUACGUUGGGAAGAAGAAUCCCACUUCGCGUGGUUUAGUGACGGUGACGAAAAAUAAAAGAAUCUCCUUAUCCAGUGGGAAUAAUAUUUUACUUCAGAUCAGUAGGUUCUUAUCUAGCAAAGAAUAUAAUUUCUGACAUAUUACUUUGUUGCGUACAUCAUCUCUCAUGUCAGAACAUAAAAUGGUACAUGUCCACAAGGGGGUGGAGUUAAGUUCGAUUUCAUGGAUGGAUUUGACCAAAAUUUCAAUGUCACUCUACAACAAUGGUUGCAGUUAGUGAAUGUUGAAUGCUAAACAUGCAUUUUGGUGGUAACUCAACCAUGUUUUGGAACAUGGAAUAUUGGAAGAAACCGAUCCAUACUGCCAUUGGUAUGGUGGAUGCUAGUUUCAUUCUCUCUGUUUUUUCGCUUUCUAAGAAAGACAAAUCACACACUUUACAAGUAUCGGUUAUGAGACCUCGAAUCAUAAGCUGGACCGGUCGUUUAUGAUUCUCAAAUUCCCAUUGGUGCUAUUCUAGAAAACGUGGCUGGUUACUACAUGCUGUAAAGUGCAAUCUAUUUGUUACAAGUUAUGGCCCUUGCUCAAGAAAAUGGAAGGGUGGUGGAUAUGGCGUAAGUACCACACAGUGUUCAUGGGUGCAUUCUUAGUUUAUUGGUAUUUUUAUUUUCAUACUGAUUCACCAUUGAGCAACAGUAAACAGAAUGUAGUGCGGAGCAUACUUUUCUAGUUUGGACUUCUAAUGUGUUUGAUAUUCCACCAGUUUAUAAAUACGUGUUCAUUUAAAUUUCCAA